CGGGGCGUAGCUCAGUUUGGUCAGAGUGUCCGGUUUGGGGCCGGAAAGUCGCAGGUUCGAAUCCUGUCGCCCCGA
rnacentral:tRNA from 2 species